UACGUAGGAGGCAAGCGUUGUCCGGAAUCACUGGGCGUAAAGCGCGUGUAGGUGGAAGGGGAAGUCUGCUGUGAAAGCGCCUGGCUUAACCGGGCGAGGUCGGUGGAAACUCCUCAUCUGGAGGGCGGUAGAGGGGGGUGGAAUUCCGGGUGUAGUGGUGAAAUGCGUAGAGAUCCGGAGGAACACCUGUGGCGAAGGCGGCCCCCUGGGCCGCACCUGACGCUGAGACGCGAAAGCGCGGGGAGCGAACGGG
rnacentral:rRNA from 1 species